rnacentral:rRNA from 1 species
ACUCCUACGGGAGGCAGCAGUGGGGAAUUUUGGACAAUGGACGCAAGUCUGAUCCAGCCAUUCCGCGUGCAGGAUGAAGGCCCUCGGGUUGUAAACUGCUUUUGUACAGAACGAAAAGGCUCUGGUUAAUACCUGGGGCUCAUGACGGUACUGUAAGAAUAAGCACCGGCUAACUACGUGCCAGCAGCCGCGGUAAU